rnacentral:tRNA from 1 species
GGGCCUGUAGCUCAGCGGCAGAGCACGAGGCUCAUAACCUCAGGGUCGUAGGUUCGAAUCCUACCAGGCCCACCA